AGUCUUGCUUCUUCUCCCUGAUUCACCUGAACUCUUCCCUUCCCUAGAGGCUGCCAACCCUCCUCCCCACCUGCGCGCUCGCUCACCUGCCCUUGCGAUUGCAACUCUCCUGCGUCCCUCGAGGUAGUUUCUUCACUCUUCCUCCGGGCUUGUCCUUCCCCUCGUGGCUUCAACAGCCUGCCCUGCCUUCCGACCUGUAGUCUCUCGGAGACCCUCCUCCGCUUUUCAGACACUUUCAACUACUUCUUUACUUUUCCAGUUACCAAGUUUCUGCUCCCACCCUCUCCUCACCUCCCCUUCCCAUUGAUCUUUCCUAAGAGUCACGCUGACCGGGAUCUCUAGGCAAUCGUAAUACAAACAGCGGUCAGGAGUUAGCUGGUCUUCAGAUCUAUUUAUAAGAACAAGCCUAAAAAUCUGACUAGUGUCUUAUUUACUGGGUCGUUAGGUUUAGAUGGUAUCGUUAACUCAAAGUAUAGAAAGACUUAAAAUACUUUAUUGCCUAAGAAGACACGCGGUAAAUUUGGAGAAGUAUAAAAGAGUAAAUGUUGCUUUGCAAUGGAAUGGGAACUUAGUUCGCGAAGCAGGGAUUCCAGGGAGGAAUCUACAGUAGGUUUGUAGGUUUGUACAGUAGUUCAAAUUCGUAUCCGUGCCUAAUGCUUUACAGGAGAACUUAGCACUUCUUUUGGCUCACUUUUACUACUAGAUUUAAAGGAUAUUUAAUAAAGUGUUUCCUGGUGGUCUAGUUUAUUGUUUGUGCGUUACUCUUUUAAUUUUAUAAUUUUAAUGUCUUCACUUUUUACGAGCUAGAAAUUGUCUGGGAAUAAGAUGAUAAUGCUCCUAGACAUUUAAAACAAUUCUUAUAAAAAGAAACCUGAUACAAAUCUAGAUAAUCUGCUUUGCAAGAUCUGGAAGAUAAAGAUUCAGACUAAAAUAGAUAAAUGUUCAGAUUUUUCAAUCCAUUUCAUCUCCUAGAAGGAUAAUCUGGUUCUGCUUUGUCUUCGGACCUAUGAAUCCAGCCUUAGUUUGGCUGAGAGUCUAAAGAAAACCCCAGAUCAAAUCACAGUUGACCUACAGUAGAUCUGGAACUCCAUUCAGACCCUAUACUGCCCCGUCUCUAAGGUUCUUCUAAAUCAAGAACAUUCCACAACCAGAAUCAAACUGGCUUUUGAAAGAAGGUUUCGUUUAUGAUAUGUGUAGCUUGUGUUGCUGCAUUUAUCAUUUGUUCUUUAGCAUGAAAAAAUUGUUAAAAUUUACACAUCAUAGUCAAUGGUAAACCACAAUGGUAGGCAUUACCAAGAUUUUAAUUCUUGAGUGAUGUCAUAGCUAUAAAAGAAUAUCAUCUUACCUCUUAGGACAUUGCAUUGCUGUUCAUGGAUUUUAAAGUGUAAAAAAUAAAGCAGUGAUAUAAAAAUCAAAGCUGUGAAAGUUAAAACAUUUUUUAUCGUUGAUUUUUUUUCCAUUAAAUUGUCAAGUUAUUUUUUAUAGGUUGAAGGUUUACUGCUAGCAUUAUUCAUACUUAAUAAAUUUGGUUUUUAGUAAGGUAUUGUGGAUCCUUAGUGUUAUCUUUAUUAAUAUAAUACUUCUAUGUAAUAAAAAUAAUUGCAUAUUUAACAUAGAUCAAGCUAGGAAGUGCAGUUUUAAUACACUUUUAAUACAGUUUUAAAAGCUUGGCAAAAAUAUGCAGAGUCAGUAAUCCUCUAAGUUAUAUGUACAUAGUUCAACAAGUUGAAGGUGCCAUUGAAUGUUUUAUUUAUAGUAUUUUGUCACUAGCAGAGAAAAAAUAAAAUUAGAACUUUAGAUAACAACUGUAUAUUUAACAUGAAAAUAUAGUGUUCUUUAAAAGGAAAGUUAGGUAUUCAAGAUAAACUUAUGCACAUUUAAUUGUGAAAUAAGACCCUUUCUUGGAUUACCCACUAAUAAUAGCUACUUUUACUCCAGAUGCCAGAAUGCGUGAAAAGUGCUUUUUUAAAAAAUUCAGUUGCUUCACAUGGUACUUUGGCAGUGUACUUGAUACUACAGAGUUGUGUGCUUUUUCUGUAGUAGUUUUUUCCAUUUGUGGUCUUAACAAAAACCAAUGGAAAGCCCUUUAGUAUGUGUAUGAAAGAGAAUUUUUCUUUCUGCUCUGAAAUAUAAUCUUCCUGUGGAGAGAUUCAGAUAUUUGUGGACAACCGAGAUCUUUCAAGUGUUUAUACUAACCUGCUUAUGUUACACUUUGUCCACAUGGAUCUAAACUGGAAAGGUGCCAGCUAUUUUCCUCAAAGCAUACUAUGGGUAAGGAUUAGCAAAAUAACCCAACUUUUUCAUCUAUAAGAAGUUUAUUUGUGCAAAAUCAUUUAGUAAGUAGGUUGCAGGAUUUUAAGGGGGAAAAUGUUAAGAGAAAACUCUGUUUUGUUAUAGAACAUGUUUAAUAAAAAAGCCUUGUUAAAAGGAUUUUUUAAAAAAGAGAAACUGUGGCUCAGUCGGUUAAGCGUCCGACUUCAGCUCCGGUCAUGAUAUCACGGCUCGUGGGUUCAAGCCCUGCAUCUGGCUCUAUGCUGACAGCUCGGAGCCUGGAGCCUGCUUCUGAUUCUGUGUCUCCCUCUCUCUCUGCCCCUCCCCUGCUCACACUCUGUCUCACUCUGUCUCUCAAAAAUAAAUACAUGUAAAAAAAAAAAAGAAACUGUUACGUGGGUUUUGAAAAUUAAACUGCCUUAUUGUAUAGCUUAAAAACAUUUUUUUUUUCAAAACACUUUUGAAUUUUCUUAUGUUAAUUGUGUAAGUUCCCCCUGAGAACUAGGUACUAGAAAUAAAAGUAGCAUUUCAUGAAUCAGUUUUUUUUGUUUUUAAAUUUAAGUUCGUAUAGGACUUAAUUUUUCUACCUUAGACUUUUCCUUUAGUAACCAAGUUAGGAAACUUCUAACCUUGAAAGAAUAUGUUACUCACAAUAGGAAGUUUUUCAGCUUAUUUUAACCUGUUUCGUCUCUGGAAGAAUUUGUUUACUGGUAAAGUAGUAGUUGCCUGACAUUUAUAUAACCCUUAGCAUUUACAAAUUGUUUCAUACUUUGCUUUAUUUCUGUAAUUAUAAAAACAGUAUUGUGUAUAAUUAGUGAAACAGUCCAAAGAUGUAUAACUCCUAAUCCCUGACAUCCCUUGCUUUUUCACACUUACUAAGGAAAUGCUGUUGCGUGACAAGCCAUAGCUCAGUGUAUUUUUACAAACGUAUUUCAUCAGGUCAUCUCAGCAGCUCUGUGCAAAACCAGUAUUAUUCACAUUUUAUUGACAAGAAAAGUUGAGGCUUAUGCAGCUAAUUUCAGGCCUGUGAUUAUUUAUCUGGUGUAACAACUGAUCCCGGUACUCAGGUCAAAGGAUUUCAGUAUUUAUGCUGUUAACCUAUUUCAUAAAAAUUUGAACUAGUAUGAUAGAGGUGGGUCAUUGGGGCAGUCCAGGGUCAAAGGUAAAUUUUUAAUCUUUCUGAGUUAUUUUCCUUAUCUGUAAAAUGGGGAUAAUGCCUUCUCUCUCCCCAGGAUUGUAGGGAAUAAUUGAAAUAAUGUAAUUAAAAUGUCUAAAAAUAGGCAAAGAAUGUUAACUCCCAUUGUCUUUGAUAUUUGAAAAUCCAGAUUAAAAAUAUGUUUUAUUUUUUUACUUUGUUAAAAAAAAUUUUUUUAGCGUUUAUUAAUUUUUGAGAGACAGAGCGUGAGCAGGGGAAGGGCAGAGAGAGAGGGAGACACAAAUCUGAAGCAGGCUCCAGGCUCUGAGCUGUCAGCACAGAGCCCAAUGCGGGGCUCAAACUCACAAACUGCAAGAUCAUGACCUCUGAGCCUAAGUCAACCGCUUACCCAACUGAGCCACCCAGGCGCCCCUAAAAAUAUUUUUUAAAUGAAAGAUUCACAUAAAUAGUAAACUUUUCUGGGGACUUAAAGUUUGAUUUUAUUUAUAAUCAGUUUGCAGAUAUGAUUUAUGUGAAGUAAGAUGAAGCUAUAUCAUUUUUCAGCAUUGGUGUAGAAGUGGAAAUAGGGUAGAAUUAAACUGUUUAAAAUAUUAAAAGCGUAGCUACAAGAUUUUUACCAGGCAAAGACAUUGAAUUAAUUAACCAGUAGAAUUGUAUAGAUGUGCAUUUCUCCUACAGGAAGCAGUAAAUAGCAAAGAACAGAAUGAAACUGGCUUUGAGAUUUAAGUGAAGAACUUCCUAAGUUAUCACUCAGAUUCUUUGUUGGUAUAUUCUUAGAAACUGGGUCCCACUGGAGGUAUCCAGGCCAGUAACAGUGAUGCUGAUUUGAAGUGCCUUGCUUACCUUUAGGGAAAGAUAUUUUUUCCCCUUGAGGUAUGUGGUCUUUUAGGGUAACUGGAACAAGAACACUGACAUAAUCUGAAGUUUUAUAACUACCUUAACUUUCUUGUGGGGGAGACAUUAUUAACUCUUUUUAAUGUUUAAAGGUCUUCUCAAAGUUAAUAUAAUUUUCUCUAAACCCAAAACCCCUUUUUAUAGUUGGGUUGGCCCUAAAGGAGAGUUGAAAUUCAUCUGAAUGUAUCAAGAGAAGUGUUUGUUUGCAAAGGCAUAUGACAUUUUUGUCAUUUUAGGACUGUUUUCUGAAAAUAAUGCUGUAUCUUCUGGAAGACUUAUUUUUUAAUUAAAAAAGUUUUUAAGGAUAUACUUAGAGAAAUUGAUAAUCUGGUAUCCAUUGCUGUCUUUCAUGUGAAAUUAUAUAGACUUAAUUCUCCAAUUAAGUCUAAUUUAACAUCUUCAGAAUUCCUAUUUAGGGUCAAAUUCCUUUUCCCCCCAAAUUUAUUACCUACUCUGAUUCUUAAUUGAAUUUUGGGUUAUUUUAUGAAGUGUCUAAUUGAAUAAAGUGAUAAUCCAGUAAAAUGUAUUUAGUUAAAAUAGUGUGAUCAUUGGGAUAGCGCACUAUCCUGUAAAUAGUAGACUAGUUGUCUUUCUGCAUCAUUGAUGACUCACAGUUGCUUUGGGCUAGUUGUUUAACCCCUUGGAGCUUCAGUUUAAUCAUUUUUAUUUGUAAGAAUAACAUUUUCCCUUGAUAAAAUCACGGAGAUGAAUUAGUCCCUCUUUGGAUGACAGAGACAAAUUAUAAACAAUGAUACAUUUGGGAAAUAGAUUUUUGUGCUUUAUUUUUGAAAUUUAACUUUUUAAAUUACAAAAAGCUGGUAAGGAGACUAACUUGUUUUUAUUUUUAUAUUUAGCACUCUGGAUCUCAACCCUGGCUGUAAACUUACAGAGCUUUAAAAAAAUAUCAAUGCCUAGGCCCACCCUCUAAGAGAUUCUAAAUUAAUUGGCCUAAGGUAGGACCCAGGCAUUUGUAUUUUUAAAAGCUCCCAGGGUGAUUCUAAUGUGCAGCCAGGGUUGAGAUCACUAAUUUAGCUUUAUCUGUCUAUUGAUUUAAUUCAUUAAUUGAGACUUUGUCCUUUUCUCUCUGAUACUCAUGGCUCAUUACCCAGCCUAUUUACAAUUCCUGCCCUCACUUCACCUCCUGCUAUUUACUUUUCACUCUCUUAACUUUGCUGCCCCCUGUGGCUGAUCAGCUGCUUUCCUGAAGAGAUGUUAGAUUCUGGAGUUUUAGGUAUGAGAUGAUUCUAUAGGAUUUUUCUGUGGUUACCAUAAUUAAAAAUUAUUACCAUUCUAUAUUAGGUGGUCUGUUUUUCUUUCCUCUGUGAUUUUGGAGCUGUGGCUGAAUAAAAUGAAAGUGAGAAAUAUCUUAGAGGUUUCCCUAGUUUUAAUCCCAUCGUUCAGGGUAACAUGAUGAUUCCAACCGCUCUGGCAUGUAAAACUGAUACUUGCCAUACACUAAAAGCAUUGUUCUGCUUCUUUAAGAUUUAAAACUAAGAUUCUAGUGUAUAUGUUGAAUAGUAGGUAGUAAACAAGUGAGCUAUUUUUUAACUUAACUUGAACUAUUUUGGGUUAUGUCUUGUAUGUAUUCAGCAACAAGAAAUUUUUUUUUGCACAGUAUUUUUACUUCUUGUCCUCUUGAUCUAAACUACAGCUUUUUAUUGAAGGUAGAGCAGCAAGGACCUGGUACCACUUUAUUUCAUAUCCCUAUUUUGUCUUUGACCUUUCUGCUAUUCAAUUUGAGUAAGACUUGUAUUUGUUGUUUUGAGUCAGUGUUCAGUUGUUAUGGAAUGAUAUUCUGUCUCCAGAAUGGUAAAAUGCUUUUGAAAGCAGAAGUCGUCUGUGUUUUCAUAUCCUGUUGUGGUACCAAAUACAGUAUUGUGUGUAUAGUAAUUGUAGCUAUGUAGUUAUAAUGAAUGUUUUGUCAAAGAAAUUACCUGUUGGUUGUCUGUUGACUCUCCUCCCUUAACGCUCCUCCCCCGACCCAGUUAUUGACUGCUUCUUUCAGUGUUGUUUGUUCACUGAUGUUUGAUGCUAUCAGUAGAUUGGUUCUCUUCUGUUUUGCUUUUUAUUUUAAUAUGUUUGUGUCUAAAUCUGGUUCCAAGUUUUUAAGCAAAAAAUUCUGGGCUUUUGAUACCAUGAUAGUAAAUGUAAGUUUAAAACAAAAGAUUGUUUGUUUUUGUAUUUUGUGCUUUGCAAAUGACUGGUAUAAGGGGCAUGAAACAUUAUUGAUAGAUUUCUUGCUAGGAAAGAUGUUAUGGAAGGUUUAUGUGGAACAGUAGUACUGGGUUGACUCUCAGAUGUGAACAUGUGUAUACAAACAUUGUAUAAAUUCAAAUAAUUAGUUUGCAGUAAUUUCUAAAUUUGAGUUGCAGUCUUUCUAAGGAUGUCCUUGAAGGAGAUGAAAGGAACAGAUUUUAAAUAUAUAAUUACUUUUAAUGCAUUAUUGUGUAAUGAGGAAUGUAAAUGCUUUGCUGAAAGAGUUUUACAUGACAGAAUAGGUUUAUGCAAAAUAAACUACUUGUCUGGGCAGGAUAUUGACUAAUAAGCAGGUUCAAACCUACUUUUUAAGUGUAUCUUUUGAACUCUUCCCUGAAGGAAUUUGUUUAUGUGGGCUUUUUGAGUGAGUGCUGGUGAAUUUUAGAAAUCUUGCAGUUUUGAUCAGAAAUCCUAAAGAAGUAUAUUAUGAUUUUGUGGAGGAGUAAUUUGCUGAAUAUGAUAGGCUCACAUGAUGAAAUUCAGAGAACCUGUUUGUAACUUGGACACCGACGGCAAGGGAUUUCUUGGGAACACACUCCUCCUACUGGAAUGGUGAUGCUAAUUGCAUCUACUAUAACCUGACCAUGAUGUUAUAUCUAGUUGAGCCUUCUGGUUCUGAAUGGGACCUCAGAAGUCAUUGUAGUUUAGCCUCCACUGGGAAUCAAUUUUGCUUUUUUUCAAAAUAAAUAGCUAUCUUGUCAUUUCCUUAGAGAAGCUUUCUUUAAUGUAGGGAGGAAACAUGGGGUUUUUAAGCUCCUAGAGGCUUUCUCGAUUUUGUUUAGUUAAUGAAUACACUGUAUGGACAUACCUAAAAAGAGGAUAAAUGUCUGAAACAGGAAUUUUUUAAUGACUGGACUUACUUUGUAAUUCAGGAGUAUCAAAUCUUAAACAUGGCUUCAAAAUUUUCUCUUUUCAAAAUUUUCUCAACAUUUUCUCUGUUAAUUAGUUUUGCCUGUUUCACACUCAAUUGGUAAAAGAAAUCUAGAAUUAUAGCUAUUAUCAGAAGUUAAAGAUUAUUUAAACAUAUUGUUAAUCCCAUGCCUUUAAAUCAAUAAAGUGAAAAAGACGGAACAGUUUUUGUUGUAAACUCUGAAUUUUGAUUAGCAAAACCGAGUGUUUCAACCAGACUUUUAUAAUAACACCUGCUGAAGCCAUAAGUAAAAUAAGAUAUGAUUUCUGUAGGAAUAUGUAUCUGCUUUAAAAGAAAAAAACUUACAGUACCAUUCUUUUAAUUGGCCAGAGGAAAAAGAUCUCGUUUACCUGCUGUUAAAACUAGAUACAUACUUUACUUUUUUUUUUUUUAAUUAAAUGUCUUUAGGAAAUUGUAGUUUGGUUGGGAAUAUAGACAUGUAAGCAGGCAGCUUCAACUACUAUCAUAAGUUUUGAAGGAAGAGUAAGCAGUAAGUGGCUAGGGUAGUGGUGUAAGGGGGACCCAGUCCAGUUUUGGUAUGUAAGGAGAGAGAUCAGGGAAAGUUUCCUAGAGAAAGUGACAGGUACACUGAGACCUAAAUGAUCUUCUUGUUCAGCCAAGAGAGAUGGGGUCCAAGAGGUCCACCUAAAGGCCAAUAUGUGCAGCCUCAGGGGUGAAUGAGCAUAGCCUAUUUGGGGAACUGCCAGCAGUCUAUGUGGCUGUGAUGAAGAGUGUUGUAAUAGGGAACUGAUUAGAGAAGACACUGGAGCAACAGUUAGGGUCUAGAUCAUAGUCUAAAUGCCAUGUAUUGCAUUUACUCCUCUGAAAGAAGCAUGAAGAGUAAUGGGUGUAAGAGAGAUGGGUGUAAGGAACACUAGUGAGGAUGCUGGCACAGUAAUGCAGACAAUAGAUGAAGGUGACCACGUCUAAGGCUGGAUUUGGUGAGAGGGAAGAACCAAUGAUGAUACAUUUCUAAUUUGGGCAGCUAGAGGCACGAUAGCAAUUUACUGAAAGGGAGAAAGAGGAAGAUCAGAUUUGGGAGAGGGCAAUGGUUUUUUUGUUGGACAGGUUGAAAUGCCUGUGGGAAAUCAAAUUGAAGCUGUCUAGUAGGAAGUUAGAUAUUUGGUUCCAGAGCUAAAUAGACCUAUGCUAGAGAUAACAGUUUGGGAGUCUUUAGAUUAAGAUUUUUUUUUUAAGUUUAUUUAUUUAUUUUGAGAGAGACAGCAUGAGUGGGGGAGAGGCAGAGAGAGAGGGAGAGAGAGAAUCCCAAGCAGGCGCUGCACAGUCAGUGCAGAGCCCAGCGCAGGACUCAAAACUCAAGAAACCGUGAGAUCAUGGACCUGAGGUGAAGCCCAGAGUCUAAGGCUAAGCCACCUAGGCGCCCUGGGAGUCUUUAGGUUAAAGGUGGCAUUUGAAAUGAUUUAAGUAGAAGCAACCACUGAAAAUGUGUAGAAAGAGAAGAGGUCAAGGAAUACCAUUAUUUAGAUGAUGAUCAAAGGAAAGGGGGUAAUCUCAAGGCAAGAGACAUAGCUUAAGUGGAGGCAAAGGAAGACAGGUAAGGGUAGAAACAAGUCAUUCAAGUGAUGAGAAUCUUUAAAAAUGGGGGUGGGGAACUAGUAACAUUGAAAAGAGCUAUUGACAAGUCAAGUAAGAGCUGAAAAGUUUCCAUGGGUUUAGUAAUCUGAGUAACAUUGGUGACUUGAGAGGCGUUUCAGAGGUUGAUAAGACUUGAAAUUUCUGUAAAGUGAGGAAUUAAUGGAAAUUGUUAAAGUCAAGUCAGUAAGUAGGACUUCUCUUUCAGGAAGCCUGACAGUUAGAAAAAAUAUAUCACUAGCUUUUGGGUGCAGAAUGGAUAUUGUAUCAGAACAAGAUUUUUAUAAGGAGGACUAGUUAGGAGGUUAUUUUACUGGGCAAGGGGAGACAUGGCGUGGCUUGGGCUAGGGGUGGUAGCAGCUGAAAUGGAGAGAAAGAGAGAGGUGUAUUUAAGAUGUAUCUUAGAUGGGAUAAUCUAGAUGGAAAACCUAGAGCUGUAUUUUGAAAUUUGACAUUUUGAGAUAUUCUUUUGGAAGUGUGAAUCACGGAGUGCUCAUUUGGUAAUUUCUAUGACUUCUAAACAUUAAUUACAAGAUUUUCAAGUUUGCCUUUUAGAAAAUGGUUAUAGUUUGAAAUGUUGGCUACUUGGUCUUCUGGCCAAAUAAGGUUUAUCUACUCACUUUUCAGUGGAAUGUCUGUGUACGCCAGAUGGUAUAUGUGUGAGGGAGAUCACAAAAUAUGUCGGGACAAGUGCAUGAGUGAGGUUAGAAUUACUUACGGCCUGUUUUCUGCCUUUAGACUGUAAGUAAAGUGCUCCAAGACCUGAGAUACGUAUCUUCUUCCCCAGCAAUUAGGUAGUCAGUUCUUGAUUUUAUUAUUUAUUGAAUGAAAUAAUGAAGCAAAAACUAUUAAAUUGACUUAAAGAAAAACACCAUUUUGUGUCAUGCAGUGAUUGACAGUUUUAUAAUGAUUGAUAACCAAGUCCCAUAGUGUUUACAUAUAGCACUAAAUUUAGCAUUUUGUUGAUGAAGAAAACAAAACAGGUAGGCUAUAUUUUUGUGCAAGUCAUUUAUAGCUCAGUAUCUUUUCAGUUGGUUAUUGAUUCUUCCUCUAUAAUAUUAAACUGAAAAUGUGUAUUGCCUGCACUAAAGCAAAAUUAACACCUUAUUUUCUAACAGUGCAAAGGAAAAAUAAUAGUAAUUGAGCCUUGUGAAGACUGAUUUCCUUUAGGUCCUGGGCAGGUAGACCAGUAGUGAACAUAGUUUUUUCUAAGAAUCUUCAAAGCAGAGGAUUUUUAUUUCUUAAAUUCUUCUGAUAUAGAAAUACUUCAUUGAUAUUCUUUGGAGUCUCCCUUUUAGCACCAUUCCUCCCUUUUUAAAGUAAUGUAAAAAUUUUUAUUGGAGAACAUUUGUUUUAUGAAUGUGUGCUGAGAAAUAAGAUGAAGGAACUUUUAAUCACUCAGCACUUUUGUCUGAGCUAGAUUUAUAAUAAGAAGUUAAGGUUAAAAUCUAUAAUUAGCAGCUUUGAGGAGUUAUUUUGAAAUAUCAAGAACCAAUCAGCCUGUCUACUUAUUUUUGCCUCUCUUUUGGAAAUGCUAUGUAUAUUUCACUCUCCCUUUAAGCUAUGUAGACACAGUUUUGAAAACUUGUAUUUGCAGCCACAUUAACAUAAUCUUUCUGAUCAUUAUUUCCCAAUUUGAGAGAGGAAAUAAAUUGAGCAAAACCGCUAAGUCUUGGAUAUAAAAAUCAGUUGGGCUAAUUCAUCUGUCACUUUACUGAUUUUAUUCUCCUGUAAAUGCUCCAGGAAAACAAAUUAGACGAUGUCAUCUCUUUUGUCCACAUACGUUUGUCCCAGUGUAUGAACAGCCUAAAUUUGAAUCCAGAGUGGAAAUAAAGUAGUAAAUGUAUCAAUGAAAUGCUUUCAAGGUGCAUUUAGUUUUAAUAGUCGUUUUUCUUUCAUAGGAAAUUUCUGUCAUUCAUGUAGGAAACUUAAAAAUAACCCUGCUUUUACCUAGCUACCAGGUAACCAGGCACUGAUUUUGGUAUUUCAUAUAUUUUGAUAUCCUGUUGUUAAUUUGGACUACAUGGAUGACCUUACACAUAACAUAUUUUGAUAUUUUGAGAACUGCUUUUUUUUUCUUUUUUUCUUUCUUUCUUUUUUUUAAGUCUGGAUAAGUAGCUUCUCCCGUGGAAUAGGAAUGACUAUUUUAGGAUACAAUACUUGCUGUGAGUCAUGAGUGAGUUUCAGUUUUCAUGGUUUUCUAAAAUAAACUCACUUAAGGACUGUGCAAUAAGAAAUGUCAUAUUCUUAACUACUCUGUCUUUAUGAUUUUUAUAAAAACUGAUAGACUGUUAAAUUUAAGUCAAAAAAGAAUCUUACAAAGGUAGAAAAUAAAAAUCCCCAGAGGAAACAUCGCUUAAAAUUUUGGGAAUCAUUCUCAUAUUUUCCUAUUAAGUGGUAUCACAUAAUGUAUGCUAUUCUGUAACCCAUUUUUACUUUAAUUGGAUAUUAUAAAUAGCAUACUUCUGAAAGGAAAACAGUAAAAUUAAUUUUUCAUUUUUAUUAUUUUUCAGUAGGCUUAAUCCCCAGCAUGGAGCUCAGUAUGGGGCUUGAACUCACCCACCCUGAGAUCAAGACCUGAGCUGAGGUCAGAAAUUGGAUGCUUCACCUACUGAGCCAUCCAGGCGCCUCUAAAAUUAAUUUAGAUUUGUUUCUGAAUAAAGUUUUUUAUUUCUGGAAAUACUAGAUCAAAUCACUUUAGACCUAGAAAAAUUCCUUGUAUAAAAAGGAGAGGAAAUAAUUUCUAAGACCACUGGUAUUUAAUUUUAGGGAGGUUAUACAUGGAUCUCUUUGAAAACCUGAUUAAAGAAAUGCAUCAUCUUCUCAGAAAAUAUCAUAUACGAUAUUGUAUGUAUAAUUUUAGGGUUCUUGGAUUCACCACCACCACAACCCUGAAGCCCAUCUAUGGCCUGGUGGUGGGGUGUUUGUAGACCUUAGGGCCUGUUUUCGAGAUUUGAACAGCCUCGUUAAGUCAGUAAUCCUUUUCCUUAACACGGGUAGCAGGUGUUUCUUAGGAGUUACAGGGAGGAGUAGCUGCCAGAUGGAACCUCAUCACAGCCAUGAAAACUGAAAAUAACUAUAGAGGCAUUGAUCUAAGAAGAUCUGUUUAAUACUUCUCAUCCCCCCAAAAUUCCAAAUGAAAAACAAAAUGCUUCUAAAAACCUGUUUUAUUUAAUGAAUAACAGGUUUUAUAUUCAAAUUGAAUUAAGCAAAAACAAUGUUUCAAAAUUUAUCACAGAAAAAAACAACAACCAAAAAACAAAUUGAAUUAAUCCCAUGACACGGAUAUUCCAUUUAUAGGCAUAUUUCAAAUUGCAGGUUUCAUAUUCAUAUUGCAUAUUCAUAUUGCAUAUUCAUAUUGCAGGUUUGCAGGUUUGGUUCCACCACAAUAAAGUAAAUAUUACAAUAAAGUGAGUGAAAUGAAUUUUUUUAUUUCCCAGCACAUAUAAAAGUUGUAUUAACACCGUACUGUAUUCUUUUAAGUGUGCAAUUGCAUUAUGGCUAAAAAGUAUGUACCUUAAUUUGAAAAUACUUUAUUGCUAAAAAAAAUGCUAAUCAUCAGCUUUCAGUGAGUCAUAAUCACUGAUUAUAACUCACCAUAACAUAAAAUAAUGAAAAAGUUUGAAAUAUUCUAAGAAUUACCAAAACGUGACACAGAGAUACAAAAUGAGCAAAUGCGGUUAGAAAAAUGGUGCCAAUAGACUUGCUCAAUGCAGGGUUGCCACAGACCUUCAGUUUGUAAAAACUGCAAUAUCUGGGAAGCGCAAUGAAAUGAGGUAUAUUCACAUACUCUUUCAGGAGUCUGCUUUUCAGUAUUCAGCUUGCUAAAAUUCCAGAUUUCUAUAUUCUAAGAAAUGCCCCAUAUUGGCUCAUCUUCAUUUCUUGUUCAUUUCUACUUUAUCAGAAGUUGUUUUUGAAGACAAAAGAUAACAAAGUUAAUUUUUUUGAGAUAAAAAUCAAACAGUGUAUUUUUAUCCUUCUAUAAUGCAAUGAUUGUGGAUAUAUUCACCUUUGAAUAGUAACGAAUAAAUCAUAGAAAUAUUUAUGUUCUUUAAAGUUCUAGUAGUCCAGUGGUUUUAUUAAAGUAAUAUUUGUAUAUUAGGAUUCAUUUUCAAAUUGGUAGGGUUCAUGUAUUCAAAUUUCCUAAAAGGUGAUGCCUCCAUUUUUUUCCGGCCAUUUUCAAUUUUAGUGAAAUCCUAGGUCCUAAACUAAGUCCUAUUUGCAAUGCUGUGAAUCAUUUGUUUAUAGAUGUUUCUAUUGUUCCUUUAUAAUAGUUUGAUCCUCUAAAGUUUCAAAUAAAAGCUGAAUUUAGAGUCUCAGUUAUUAAUGUUCUAGGAGUAUUGCCAAAAAAAGCUACAUGUCCUAUAUUCUGUGCCAGUUUCUUAAAUUAGAAUCUUGGAUUGCAUCCUCAGCGUGUCACUGUAGUGGUAUUGCUGGGUUGCUAUGAUACAGUGCUUGUUCUAUAAUUUGUAGCAUGAAUCCUAUAUGAGAUCCUACUUUAGAUUUCUAAAAUGUGAGCAGCACUAAUUGGAAAUAUCCAUUUUUCCUUUAAGGAAAAUUAUACUUAUAAAACUUCUGUUACAGAUUAUGAUACUUGAUACUUAAAACUAUUUGUUCUUAAAGGUAAAAUAGAUUAACAAUCAACAACUUGAAAUAAUUUGGUUGUCCCUAAGAAAUUUAGUUUAUUACAUUUUUAUGAAAAUGGGCAAGAAAAGGAAGGUUUUAUGAUAAUGAAUAUUGAAAUUUCACCAUUCUACUUGAUAUUUGAGGUCUUAAGAGAAAUAAAUAUAAACUAUAUUUUCUGGUAACAUGAAUUUGAGACAGUGAUCAAAUCUACAUUACACAGGAAAGCUCCACAAAUUAUCUUACCCUAUGGAAUUUAUUUUUUUUAUUCAGUGAACUGUUCUUAAAACCAACCUAUGUAGUUCUGUUGAUAAAAUAUUAUUAAUUCUUAUUUUAUGAUGUGGUUUUUGUGUUUUCAUUUACAUGUUCUGUAUAAAUAAGUUAGAUGGCAUAAAGACCAACGGUAUUCUAGGCAUGUGUUGUAUAUACAUUUGGGGUAGAAUGAAAUUUUUAUGAUUAUUGGUUAGUGGCAUUUGAUCUUUAAACCACAGCUGAUCUUUAAACUUUCACUGUCUUUCAGUAAUGUUUUGCAUAUUUAGCAUGAAAAUAUUUUAGAGACCAGGACUGAACUAAAAAUUUUAACAGCUUUAUUGAGAUAUAAUUCAUAUACCGUGCAAUUCACCCAUGGCUUUUAGUAUAUGUACAGAUAUUUACAACCAUCACUACAGUCAAUUUUAGAACAUUUUCAUAAUGUCAGAAAGAAAUGCCAUAGCAUUUAACUAUUACUCCUCGCCUCACUCAUCCCCUACUCUAAGCAGCCACUGAUCUACUUUCUGUCUCUAUACUCUUUCUGUCUUCUCUCUACUUUCUGUUCCUGUUCUGGACAUUUUAUAUGAAUGGGAUCAUAUAUAGUCUUUUGUAAGUCUUUUAUAUCACUGGCUUCUUUUCACCUAACAUAAUAUUUUCAAUCAUGUGGUAGCAUGUAUCAGUAUUUCAUUCCUCUUAUGGCUGAGUAAUAAUCUAUUGUAUGGCUUUAGUACCAUAUUUUAUUUGUCCAUUCAUCAGUUGAUGGACAUUUGGAUUUCCACCUUUUGGUUAUUAUGAAUAAUGUUGCUGUAAACAUUUGUGUACAAGUUUUUGUGUGAGCAUAUGUUUUAAUUUCUCUUGGGUGUAUACCUAGAAGUAGAAUUUUUGGGUCACAUGUAAUUUUGUGUUUAAUUGCUUGAGGAACUGCCACACUUGUUUUCCACCAUGGUCAUGCUAUUUUACAUUCCUACCCACCAGUUUAUGAUCUCUGCAUACCCUCACCAACACUUAUUACUCUGACGUUUUUAAUACAGCCAUCCUAACAGGUAUGAAGUGUGAAAUUUUUGUGGUUAUGAUUUGCAUUUCUCUAAUGACUAAAGAUGUCAAGCAUCUUUUAAUGUGCUUUUUGGCCAUUUGGUGUAUCCUCCUUGUAGAAAUGACUCUUCAGACCCUUUGCCCAUUUUUUAAUUGAGUUGUCUUUUUAUCAAGUCGUAAUGCGCCCCUGUCUUUGCACUUUCUUAAUGGUAUCCUUUGAAGUGCAGAUGGUUUUAAUUUUGAUAAAAUCCUAAAUUAUCUUUUUUUCUUGUUCCUCAUGCUUUUGGUGUCCUAAAAAUCUUUCCCAAAUCUGAUGUCAUUAGAUUUACCUUUAUGUUUUCUUCUAAGAAUGUUAUAUGUUAGCCUUUACAUUUUUAGGUCUUUGAUGUAUUUUGAGUUCAAGUUUUGUAUGGAAUGUGAUAUAACAGUUCAGAUUUAUUCUUUUGCAUGUAGCUAUUCAGACGUCCUAGCACCAUUUGUUGAAAAUACAUUUUCCCCAUUAGAUAAGGAAACUUGUUGAAAACUUGUUUAACUUGUUCAAAAUCAGUUGGCACAUGGUUUUAUUUUUGGGAUUUCAGUUCUAUUCCACUGAUCUGUAUUCUAUUGUUUUAUCAGUACCACACUGUCUUGAUUACUUUUGGUUUGUGUAGUACAUUUUGAAAUGGAAAAGUCUGAGUCUUCCUACUUUGUUCUUUUUCAAGAUUGUUUUGGCUAUUCUGGCACACUUGAAAUUGAAAGAAUUAGGUUACUGAUCUGAGAUUUUUAUUUGUUUUUCUAUAGGUAUUUACAGGUAUAAAUUCCCUUCUAAAUACUUUUUAGCUACAUCCCAGAUGUGUUAGUAUGUUAUGUCUUCAUUUUCAUUUGUCUCAAAAUAUUUUCUGAUUUUUCCUUUGGUAUCUUCUUUGAUACAUUAGUUAUUUAGGAGUGUGUAUGGUUUAAUUUCUGCAUAUUUGUGAUUUUCCCAAUUUGUUUUCUGUUACUGAUUUAUAAUUUCAUUCUACCAUGGUCGAGGAUAUACUUUGUGGUAUUUCUGUUUUUACUUUUUUUGAGGUAGUUUUAUAACUUGGCAUAUGGCCUGUCCUGGAGACUGUUCCAUGUGCACUUGAGAGUAUGUAUUCUGCUGUUGUUGGCUGGAGAAUUCUAUAGUAAAUAUAAAUUCCUUAGUGUUCUAUAGAAGUCUGUUAGAUCUGGUUAAUUUAUAGUGUAAGCCUUGUAUUUCCUUGAUCUUGUGUCUAGUUGUUCUAUCCAUUAUUAAAAAUGAGAUAUUAUGGGGCGCCUGAGUGGUACAUUGCAUUAGGCAUCUGACUCUUGAUUUCGGCUUAGGUCAUGAUAUCAUGGUUUCAUGAAUUCGAGCCCUGUGUAGGACUCUGUACUGACAGUGUGGAGCCUGCUUGGGACUCUCUCUCCCCUCUCUCUCUGCCCUUUUCCCACUCGUGCGCACUCUCUAAAUAAAUGAACAUUAAAAAAAAAAUUUUUUUUUUUAAUGAGAUCUUGAAGUCUCUCUUGUUGAAUUGUCCAUUUCUUUCUUCACUUCUUUUAGUUUUGCUUUAUAUAUUUUGGAACUGUUAGUAAGUGCACAUAUUUUGUAAUUGUUGCAUCUUAGUCAUGAAUUGACCCUUUCAUCAUAAAAUGGAUCUCUAUCUCUAAUACAAUUUUUUUGUUUGUUUUAAAAUCUGUUUAUCUGAUAUCAGUAUACCACUCUAGCUUUCUUGUGUUUGCAUGAUAUAUCACUUUCCAUCCUUUUCAGUCUAUUUGUGUCUUUGAAUCUGUAACUUGUUAUGGGGAGAAGAGCAUAUAAUUAGGUCUUUUUUAAUUCAGUUUGAAAUCACUGCCUUUUGACUGGAUUGUUUAAUCCAUUUGUAUUUAAUGUUAUUUGUUGAUAUAGUUGGAUUUAUGUCUGCCAUUUUACUUUUUGUUUUCUGUGUCUCGUGCCUUUUUUGUUCUACAUUCUUCCUUUACUGUUUUCUUUAGUAUUAGGUGAAUAUUUUUCACAGCAGCAUUUGUUUGUUUAAUGAUUUUUUAUCACAUCUUUUUGAGUUUAUUUUUAGUGGAUGCCCUUGGGCUUAUCAUGUAUAUAUUUAUUGGAAUCAACUUCAGAUUUAUAUUAGCUUAUUUCCCGUGAGAUAUGGAAACAUUACUUCUGUAUUCGUGUAUUUCCUUUUCCUCCUUUUUAUGGUGUUGUUAUUCAGUUACAUUUAUUGCGCCCCAACCAAUAGUGUUUUAUUGUACUUAAUGCUUUAUCAUCAUUCAUUCAUUAGCCCAGUACAUGUUUGCUUCCACCCAUCUCCUUUGUGCUGUUACUGGCAAAUAUGUUAUAUUUCUAUAUAUGGUAAUAACCUAAUUAUAUAUUUAUAAUAUAUAUAUUAUAUAUAUGUGUAUUUAUAUUACUUUAUACAUUGGGGUUUUUUUGAAUCAGCUAAGAGAAAAAAGAAAAUAUAUGCAUUUAUACUUCCUUUUAUAAUUACAUAAUUUACUGGAGUUCUUUGUGGUUUCUUUGUGGAUUGGAAUUACUUUCUGUGGUUAUUUGCUUUCAGCCUGAUGGAAUUUCUUUAAUGUUUCUUGUAAGGCAGUCUGGGUAGCCUCUGAGUUUUUGUUUAUUUGGGAAUAUCUUUAUUUUGCCUUUUUUUUUUUUUAAGUUUUCUUUAAUGUUUAUUUUUGAGAGGGAGAGUGCAUGAGCAAGGGAAGGGCAGAGAGAGAGAAAGACACAAUUCAAAGCAGUCUCCAGGCUCUGAGAUGUCAGCACAGAACCUGAUGUGGGGCUCGAACUCAUGAACCUAUGAGAUCAUGACAAUUAACUCACUGGGCCACCCAGGUGCCCCUGCCUUCAUUUUUGAAUGAUAGCUUUGCUGGAUAUAGGAUUUGGGGGUGACAGGUUAUUUUGUUUGUUCUUUUUGAGCAGUUUGAAUAUGUUACUCUGCUGUUUUCUAGCCUCUACUAUUUCUACUGAGAAAUUAACCAUUAAUGUUAGCCCUUGUAAGUGACUAGUUGUUUUUCUUUUGCAGCUUUCAAGAUUUUUCUCCUUGUCUUUGACUUUCAGCACUUUUAUGGUAUAUCUGUGAAUCUCCCUUGUAUUUUUCCUUCUUAGAGUUGUUGAGCUUUCUGGAUAUGCAGCUUAAUGUUAUUCAGUAAAUUUGGGAAGUUUCAGUCAUGAUUUCUUCAAAUAUUUUUUUCUGCUUCUUUCUUUUUUCUCCUUUUAUGUGCAUGUGGUACACGGUGUCCCACAGAUUGAAGUUCUGUUCAUUUUUUUAAAUGUUUUUAAAAUUUAUUUUGAGAGAGAAAGAGCAUUCAUGAGUAGGGGAGGGGCAGAGAGAGGGAGAGACAGACAGAGGAGAGAGAGUCCCAAGCUGGCUCUGUACUGUCAGUGCAGAGCACAAUGUGGGGCUCAUUCUCACAAACUAUAGGAUCAUGACCUGAGUCGAAAUCAAGAGUCAGACACCUAACUGAGCCACCCAGGUGUUCCUGAAGUUCUGUUCAUUUUUAUUCACCUCUUUUUCUGUAUUCAGAUUUCAUAGUCUGUAUCAAUUUAUCUUCAAACUUCCCUAGUUCUUUCCUCUGCCAAUUCACAUCAGUUGAGUCCUUCUAGUGAGUUUUUCAUUUUGUUAUUGUACUUGGCAAUGCAGAAUCUUCUUGUUUCUCUCUUUCUUUUUCUUUUUUUGCAAAGUCUGUUUCUAUUGACAUCCUUUAUUUGAUGUGACAUUGUCAUAUCUUCUUUACUUCAGCGAUGGUUACCUUCAGUUCUUUGAAUAUAUUUAUAAUGGCUGCUUUGAAGUCAUUUUCUCUUAAAUCCAACAUUGGGUUGCUCUCAUAGGCAGUUUCUAUUGCCUUCUCUUUUUUCCCCUUGGUAUAUGGGACAUACUUUCCUGUUUCUUUGUGUAUCUUGUAAAUUUUUUGUUGUUGUUAACUGAACACUUUAGAUAAUGUACUUAAUAUAUUAUAGCAGUACAAUACUGGGUACUUGUCCCACCCCUCAGAGCUUAUUGUUGUCACUUACUUGUUUAGUGACUGGGUCUAAUAUUGUUCCUUAAAGGAUGCAGCUUUAGGUAUGCCAGUAGUCACCCUGAGAUGAACGUGCUUUUGACAGGGCUCUCUUUAUGUUUUCCUAACAACACCCCCAGCUUUAAAUUCUAGUGACUUCCAGCUUGUUUAAUUGUUCUCAACAAUGCUCUGGGGCAUAAAUUGUUCUAAUUUUUUUCUGACUAAUCUAGUCAAAUUCAGGCUUUUUGGAAGGAAUAGUUCCUGAGGUCAGUGUCUGAUAUUUGUUCUAACACCAGAGUGCUCCUCCAAGCUGUUUCUUUCCCUGGUAUUCUGCGUACUAGCUGACUAAAGCCUAUUUUCUCAGUGAAUUUACAAAUCUUCCCAUUGCCAUUCACUAUAACCCCCACUGUUUUUGAGAACACCCCUAACCUUGAACUUUUCUAUGCUGUGUUGCAAAAGAAGUCAUUUCCUUUGGGAAGAGACAUAACAGCUGUUUUAUGUCUUGCUCCCCCCCCCCCCCGCCCCCCAGGCAAAUUUUUUGAGUUAGGACUCUGGAGCUGGGGAUAGGGACAAUGGCAUGCUUCUCUCUGAAUGACACCCUACUUCAGGAGCUGAGCAGAAGGUGGAGAAGGAGCAUUAGCCUAAGAUCUUUUUGGCUUGCCUCUUCCAGCAUGGAAGCACCUACAGGCUAGGACUGAGAUAAUGAUAGCCCCAGUAUUCUCAGUGGUACUGCACCAGGGGUAGAGCCUCUGUCCGUGAGUGGAAGUUGGGCAAAAGAAGGGAGCCCUUCUUCUUAAUUGCACUGGCCCAGAACUUAAACUCAGUAAUAGGUAGUUGUGGGCAGGGUGAGAAAUGCCAACAUCAUGCUCCUCACCUAAGGAAAGCUGCCUGAUCAAGAUCUGGUAGUAAAGGGGUCCUUGUGUUCUUGGCUGCCUCCCUCCAGAGUGGAGUUUCUGCUUAGCUAAGCCGAGAGGAGAGAGGCACUUUGUUCAGAUACCACACAUUCUUGCCGUUCUUCAUAAAUUUUCAUAAGUAUUCUUGGAUAGAUGUUUCCUCAUUUGCUGCUUACCUUAGGGCCAUUUCCAGAAGCUUUCAAGGUUUAAAAAUUAUUUUCAUCUGUUUCACUGGAGUGCAGGUCUGUGGAGCUUUUACCUUGUCUUGCUAGAAGUUGAACUUCCUGUAGACUAAAAUUUUAGCUUCUUUUGUAGUAAUAAUUAGUACCUUUCUUUUAUCUAGGAAUUUAUAGCUUUCAAAUAUAUAAUCAUGCCAAUACGUUUGAAAACUUAAAGGAAUUGGGAAAAUCCCUUGAAAUAAACAGCUUUCUGAAACUGACACAAGAAGAAACAAAAAUCUAAACAAGUCUUAAUACCUACUUAAUUGAAUCGUAAUUAAGAACUGUGACAAAUGGGGUAAAUGAGUGAUGGUCAUUAAGGAGGGCACUGCUGGGAUGAGCACUGGGUGUUAUAUGUAUGUGAUGAAUCAUUAGAUUCUACUCCUGAAGCCAAGACUACACUGUAUGUUAUCUAACUUGAGAACUAAAAAAAAGAAGAAAGAAAAAAGAACCUUGACAAGGACAUUACAACAACAACAAAAUGCAAAGAUGCAAAAAUGUUAUACAGAAUAUUUACAAAUUGAAUUUAGCAACAUAUAAAUAGGAUGAUACAUCAUGAUCAUGUGGGAUUCAUGCCAGAAUCCAGGAUAGCUUUUACAUUCAACAAUGACUUGCUAUGUAAGCAAAAGAAACAAGUUGUAUCAUCACUUCAAUGUAAGUAGAAUAAUAGAAAUUCCUUCUCUGUAUAGUUCCUUUCUCUCUAGUACUUUAACCUGUAGAUUCCAGCCACUUCAUUAGCCCUGAUUUCCACUUUGUAUUUAGCUCAGCAAGCCUGUUUGCUAUUUUGAGUCUUCUCCCUAUGGUGCAGUCUGGAAAGUGCUAACAGAGAGCUUAUGUGAUUGUGGGCUCACUCUGUUUCCCUUCUCUUAAGGAUCACAGUCCCAUAUUGCGUGUUUUCCAGCAUCUGCAAACAGUUAUUUCACAUAUUUUCUCCAGUUUUUAGUAUGUUACAGUGGAAAGUCUAGCCUGCUGGAAGCAGCAGUGUUGCCCACACUUUUUGUUAUUUUUGAAUCCAAUGGGUAUGGAGUGAUGUAUUUCACACGUAAAUUCAUAUGUAUGGUUUAUACAUAUUAACAUUUUUCUGCUUUCCAGUGUGGUUGAAUGUCAUUUCAUACGUUUAUUGAUCAUUUUGUUUCAUGUGCUCUUUUCUAUAGAUUUGUCUUUUUCUUAUUGAUUUAUAGAUGUUCUUUUGUGAAUUCUGGAUGCCAGUCCAGAGUUGGUUAUAAAAUUAAAUGUUUCACACUUUACCUAGUCACGUUUAGUCUUUUAGUUCUCUAAAAGAAUUAAUUUUUAUAAAUGGUGUGAAGGAGGGAUCUAAUUUUUUUUCCAUAUGAAUAACCAAUGGUCCUACCAUAAUUUAUUAAAUUAAAAAAUUCACUACUGACAUUAAAAAAAACCCAACUCUAUUAUAUAUUAAUCUUCUGUAUAUGUACCCUAGUAUAUUCCUAGGUACCUUAUUUUUUUCUUUUCCGGUGGUCUUUUUGUCUAUUCCUGUCUCAAGUCGUGUAGUUUUAAUCACUAUAUGUAGUAAGGUUAGUCUUCCCUUCUUCAUCUUAAAUAUCAGCUUGGCUAUUCUUGGCUCUUCAUUUUUCCUGAUGAAUUUUAAGAGCAACUCUUCAGGUUCCAACAAAACACUGUCAAUUGAGUGCAGCAUCAUGUUACAAUCCAAAAUGCUUUCUCUGUAUAGAUUGAGGAAGAUGUCUUCUCAUCCAUGAAUAAUUCUAUAUCUGUUAUUUAUUUCUUUUAUAUAUUUCAUAAAAGUUUUGUAAUUGUCUUCAUAAAAGUCUUUCUUGUCUUUUGUUAGAUCUCUCAAAUUACUUGCCCCGGGAACCCAGUCAACAUAUUGUGAGGAAGGUUAGGCCACAUGGAGAGGUCACAUGUGGUGUUUCUGGCACUAGCCCCUGCUAGACCUUCAUUCAAAAGCCUGAAUUAACUAUCAACACAUAUACGAGUGAUUUAGCCUUCACAGAUUUCUCCCUCUAAGUUUUCUAGUUUUCUAGCUAAGGCCUUAGACUUCAUGGAACAGAGAUAAGUUGUCCCUGCUAUGUUCUGUCUGAAUCUCUGACUUAAAAAAACUGUGAUAGAUAAUUAUUGUUUCAAGCCACUAAAUUUGGAAUGAUUUGUUACUAAGCAAUAGAAAAUUAAAACACCAGACAUCAUUCUGAUAAUGAUCUGGCUUCUCCUGUAGGUCUGCUUAAGGAACACAUAACUGGAAUAUUCUAAUAUGGUACAUGGAGGAAUAAUUUCCCAUCACAAAUUAAUAAAUUGGCAUUUAUUACUAAGUCAUGAACCUGGCUAAUUUACAUUUGUACUGUGUAUGAUUUAGUGGUACAGUUUUCCUAAAUAAGUUUUACAAACUGACACUAAAGAGUAUAGUUAAAACUUUCUCACCACAUUUUCUUAAAGAUUCUAAUUUAAUCUUCAAAAAAUUUUUACAAAGUUUGCUAAUAUCAGACAAAGUAGUGUAAUCAACCAGAGUAUAUACCCAACUACAUAGGCAUUAUUUUU